GAUGAACGCUAGCGGUAGGCUUAACACAUGCAAGUCGAGGGGCAGCAUGAGAGUUACUUGUAACUCUUGAUGGCGACCGGCGUAAGGGUGCGUAACACGUGAACAACUUGCCCAUAACAGAGGGAUAACCAGUGGAAACGCUGACUAAUACCUCAUAACAAUGAGAGUCUCAUGACUUUUAUCUGAAAACUCAGGUGGUUAUGGAUAGGUUCGCGCCCCAUUAGCUAGUCGGUGAGGUAACGGCUCACCGAGGCGACGAUGGGUAGGGGUUCUGAGAGGAAGGUCCCCCACACUGGAACUGAGACACGGUCCAGACUCCUACGGGAGGCAGCAGUGAGGAAUAUUGGUCAAUGGACGCAAGUCUGAACCAGCCAUGCCGCGUGCAGGAAUAAUGCCCUAUGGGUUGUAAACUGCUUUUGAUGCAGAGCAAUAAUAUCUACGAGUAGAUAGAUGAGAGUAUGUAUCGAAUAAGCACCGGCUAACUCCGUGCCAGCAGCCGCGGUAAUACGGAGGGUGCAAGCGUUAUCCGGAAUUAUUGGGUUUAAAGGGUGCGUAGGCUGUACGGUAAGUCAGAGGUGAAAUACCUGUGCCCAACAGAGGAAUUGCCUUUGAUACUGCCGUACUUGAGUGAUAGUGCCGUGGGAGGAAUGUGUAGUGUAGCGGUGAAAUGCAUAGAUAUUACACAGAACACCGAUUGCGAAGGCAUCUCACGAAUUAUCAACUGACGCUGAUGCACGAAAGCGUGGGUAUCGAACAGG
rnacentral:rRNA from 1 species